rnacentral:rRNA from 1 species
GUUCGGAUCGCAGUCUGCAACUCGACUGCGUGAAGGUGGAGUCGCUAGUAAUCGCGGAUCAGCAACGCCGCGGUGAAUGCGUUCCCGGGCCUUGUACACACCGCCCGUCAAGUCAUGAAAGUGGGCAGCACCCGAAGACGGUGGCCUAACCCUUGUGGGGGGAGCCGUCUAAGGUGAGGCUCGUGAUUGGGACUAAGUCGUAACAAGGUAAC